rnacentral:rRNA from 1 species
AUGUACAAGUCCCGACAAGCCCUACUUCACGCCAAGUCCAAGCUUCAUGAGCAAAACAGAAGACCGCAAGAUGAGCACCAACAAGACGGAACUACGGCUACCACCACCACUUCGGCAUCUUCGCCAAGUGCUAUCAAGGCAUCUUCACAUUUGGACGUACGGAAUCUUCGCCUACUUCCCACGAGUUCGCCUACAUCGACAUCUUCAACAACAAGGCGACCACCUACAAGUGAGGGCGACACUUCCAUCUUCGGAAGCCCCUCAAGGAAGAUAGCCGAGCAUGGGAAUUUCCCUUCGGUCAUGGAGACGAGCUACGAGGUGCCACAUCAUAUGGGCAUCCAACACCAAGACGGCGACAAGAAGGUCGAGCAAGGGCCAUCCCCUUCGACCACGAUGAUAGGAGUUGAGCAUGGAGAUAUUUGCACCUACAUCUCUCCGACACCCACAUAUGUCGAGAUGCCCCAUUUAUCAUGUGAGGAGAGUCACCACCCCAUGAGUGAGAUGAGUGACUCCACCAUAUAUGACAUUGAGAGCAUUUCCUAUGAGAGGAUGAGUGUGACCACCACUAGCCCCACACAUGAGAUCAUGCCACACAUCCUAUGUGAGGUUGAGCGCCAUUUGAGUGACUCCACCAACCAUAUGAGUGAGAGCAUCCUUGAGGGAGUGAGUGAGCCACAACACUUAGCGAGUGAGGUAGUUGACACGGAACGUGAGGCCACUUUGAUUUCUAACGACUUGACCUCUACUCCGAGUGUAUUUUCUUUGGUGCUAGGUCUCCUACAUGACGACAUGCCUAUCCUCGACGAGUCCAUCCCUCCAAUGGAUACAACGAUGGCCAUGGUGGACAAUGAUGCACCUCCACAUGGUUCCAUCAAGAUGAAGAUGACAAUGAGUGGAUCGUCAACACCUCAGCUACAACACAUGAGCGAUGCUCCAAAGGUAACAUAG